rnacentral:rRNA from 1 species
GUCCUACGGGGGGCGGCAGUGGGGAAUAUUGCACAAUGGGGGAAACCCUGAUGCAGCGACGCCGCGUGAGUGAAGAAGUAUUUCGGUAUGUAAAGCUCUAUCAGCAGGGAAGAAAUAGCGACCUUUGGGUCGCCAGACGGUACCUGACUAAGAAGCCCCGGCUAACUACGUGCCAGCAGCCGCGGUAAUACGUAGUGGGCAAGCGUUAUCCGGAUUUACUGGGUGUAAAGGGAGCUUAGACGGCAGCACAAGUCUGAAUCGAAUUGCCUGGGCUUACCCCCGGAACUGCUUUGGAAACUGUGCAG